rnacentral:rRNA from 1 species
GGGGAAUAUUGGACAAUGGGCGCAAGCCUGAUCCAGCCAUGCCGCGUGAGUGAUGAAGGCCUUAGGGUUGUAAAGCUCUUUCAGUGGGGAAGAUAAUGACGGUACCCACAGAAGAAGCCCCGGCUAACUUCGUGCCAGCAGCCGCGGUAAUACGAAGGGGGCUAGCGUUGUUCGGAUUUACUGGGCGUAAAGCGCACGUAGGCGGAUUGGUCAGUUAGGGGUGAAAUCCCAGAGCUCAACUCUGGAACUGCCCUUAAUACUGCCAGUCUAGAGUCCUGAAGAGGUAAGUGGAACUCCUAGUGUAGAGGUGGAAUUCGUAGAUAUUAGGAAGAACACCAGUGGCGAAGGCGGCUUACUGGUCCGGGACUGACGCUGAGGUGCGAAAGCGUGGGGAGCAAAC